AACGAACGCUGGCGGCAUGCCUAACACAUGCAAGUCGAACGAGACCUUCGGGUCUAGUGGCGCACGGGUGCGUAACGCGUGGGAACCUGCCCUUAGGUUCGGAAUAACUCCCCGAAAGGGGUGCUAUUACCGGUUAUUGCCUUCGAACCAAAGAUUUAUCGCCUUUGGAUGGGCCCGCGUUGGAUUAGCUAGUUGGUAGGGUAAAAGCCUACCAAGGCGACGAUCCAUAGCUGGUCUGAGAGGAUGAUCAGCCACACUGGGACUGAGACACGGCCCAGACUCCUACGGGAGGCAGCAGUGGGGAAUAUUGGACAAUGGGCGAAAGCCUGAUCCAGCAAUGCCGCGUGAGUGAUGAAGGCCUUAGGGUUGUAAAGCUCUUUUACCCGGGAUGAUAAUGACAGUACCGGGAGAAUAAGCUCCGGCUAACUCCGUG
rnacentral:rRNA from 1 species